GCUGGGUGCCGUGGUGCACACCUGUAAUCCCAGCGGCUCAGGAGGCUGAGGCAGGAGGAUCACAAGUUCAAAGCCAGCCUCAGCAAAAGUGAGGCACUAAGCAACUCAGUGAGACCCUGUCUCUA
rnacentral:sRNA from 1 species